UGCCAGCCGUAGAUUUGAGAAAGGUUUC
rnacentral:piRNA from 1 species